rfam:Asian citrus Psyllid, Diaphorina citri - Florida Strain, whole genome shotgun sequence.
GCCUAGUUAGCUCAGAAGGUAGAGCGUCUGCCUUGUAAGCGCUAGGUCUCGGGUUUGAUUCCCGCCCGGAGUG